GAUGAACGCUGGCGGCGUGCCUAAUACAUGCAAGUCGAGCGAACAGACGAGGAGCUUGCUCCUCUGACGUUAGCGGCGGACGGGUGAGUAACACGUGGAUAACCUACCUAUAAGACUGGGAUAACUUCGGGAAACCGGAGCUAAUACCGGAUAAUAUAUUGAACCGCAUGGUUCAAUAGUGAAAGACGGUUUUGCUGUCACUUAUAGAUGGAUCCGCGCCGCAUUAGCUAGUUGGUAAGGUAACGGCUUACCAAGGCAACGAUGCGUAGCCGACCUGAGUGGGUGAUCGGCCACUUGGGAACUGAGACACGGUCCAUACUCCUACGGGAGGCAACAGUCGGGAAUCUUCCGCAAUGGGCGAGAGCUUGACGGAGCAACACCGCGUGAGUGAUGAAGGUCUUCGGAUCGUAAAACUCUGUUAUUAGGGAAGAACAAAUGUGUAAGUAACUGUGCACGUCUUGACGGUACCUAAUCAGAAAGCCACGGCUAACUACGUG
rnacentral:rRNA from 1 species